rnacentral:rRNA from 1 species
GAUGAACGCUAGCGGCAGGCCUAAUACAUGCAAGUCGAACGGGAUCCAGAUCACAGCUUGCUUUGGGUUGGUGAGAGUGGCGCACGGGUGCGUAACGCGUGAGCAAACUACCCUUGUCAGGGGGAUAGCCCGGCGAAAGUCGGAUUAAUACCGCAUGACAUCAUUGAGAGGCAUCUUUCGAUGAUCAAAUAUUUAUCGGACAAGGAUGGGCUCGAGUGACAUUAGCUAGUUGGUAAGGUAACGGCUUACCAAGGCUCCGAUGUCUAGGCGCUGUGGGAGGAGAAUCGCCGACAUUGGAGCUUGGUCACGGACAAGAGUACUGAGACACGCAGCAGUAUGGAACAUGAGGCAACGGUCGGAAGUAUGAACCAGCCGUCCAGCGUGCAGGAAGACAGUGCUAUGGGUGGUAAGCUGCUUUUAUACUGGAACAACCGUCGGUACGGGUAUCGGUAUGAGUGUACCGGAAGAAUAAGGACCGGCUAACUCCGUG